rnacentral:rRNA from 1 species
AGACCCGAAACCCGGUGAUCUAGCCAUGGGCAGGUUGAAGGUUGGGUAACACUAACUGGAGGACCGAACCGACUAAUGUUGAAAAAUUAGCGGAUGACCUGUGGCUGGGGGUGAAAGGCCAAUCAAACCGGGAGAUAGCUGGUUCUCCCCGAAAGCUAUUUAGGUAGCGCCUCGUGAAUUCAUCUCCGGGGGUAGAGCACUGUUUCGGCUAGGGGGCCAUCCCGGCUUACCAACCCGAUGCAAACUGCGAAUACCGGAGAAUGUUAUCACGGGAGACACACGGCGGGUGCUAACGUCCGUCGUGAAGAGGGAAACAACCCAGACCGCCAGCUAAGGUCCCAAAGUCAUGGUUAAGUGGGAAACGAUGUGGGAAGGCCCAGACAGCCAGGAUGUUGGCUUAGAAGCAGCCAUCAUUUAAAGAAAGCGUAAUAGCUCACUGGUCGAGUCGGCCUGCGCGGAAGAUGUAACGGGGCUAAACCAUGCACCGAAGCUGCGGCAGCGACGCUUAUGCGUUGUUGGGUAGGGGAGCGUUCUGUAAGCCUGUGAAGGUGUGUCGUGAGGCAUGCUGGAGGUAUCAGAAGUGCGAAUGCUGACAUAAGUAACGAUAAAGCGGGUGAAAAGCCCGCUCGCCGGAAGACCAAGGGUUCCUGUCCAACGUUAAUCGGGGCAGGGUGAGUCGACCCCUAAGGCGAGGCCGAAAGGCGUAGUCGAUGGGAAACGGGUUAAUAUUCCCGUACUUGGUGUUACUGCGAAGGGGGGACGGAGAAGGCUAUGUUGGCCGGGCGACGGUUGUCCCGGUUUAAGCGUGUAGGUGUGUGUUCCAGGUAAAUCCGGUUCACUUUAACACUGAGGCGUGACGACGAGGCACUACGGUGCUGAAGCAACAAAUGCCCUGCUUCCAGGAAAAGCCUCUAAGCAUCAGGUAACAUCAAAUCGUACCCCAAACCGACACAGGUGGUCAGGUAGAGAAUACCAAGGCGCUUGAGAGAACUCGGGUGAAGGAACUAGGCAAAAUGGUGCCGUAACUUCGGGAGAAGGCACGCUGACACGUAGGUGAAGUGAUUUACUCAUGGAGCUGAAGUCAGUCGAAGAUACCAGCUGGCUGCAACUGUUUAUUAAAAACACAGCACUGUGCAAACACGAAAGUGGACGUAUACGGUGUGACGCCUGCCCGGUGCCGGAAGGUUAAUUGAUGGGGUCAGCGCAAGCGAAGCUCCUGAUCGAAGCCCCGGUAAACGGCGGCCGUAACUAUAACGGUCCUAAGGUAGCGAAAUUCCUUGUCGGGUAAGUUCCGACCUGCACGAAUGGCGUAAUGAUGGCCAGGCUGUCUCCACCCGAGACUCAGUGAAAUUGAACUCGCUGUGAAGAUGCAGUGUACCCGCGGCAAGACGGAAAGACCCCGUGAACCUUUACUAUAGCUUGACACUGAACAUUGAGCCUUGAUGUGUAGGAUAGGUGGGAGGCUUUGAAGUGUGGACGCCAGUCUGCAUGGAGCCGACCUUGAAAUACCACCCUUUAAUGUUUGAUGUUCUAACGUGGACCCGU